CGGACGGGUGAGUAACGCGUGGGUAACCUGCCUUAUACUGGGGGAUAACAGCCAGAAAUGACUGCUAAUACCGCAUAAGCGCACAGAACCGCAUGGUCCGGUGUGAAAAACUCCGGUGGUAUAAGAUGGACCCGCGUUGGAUUAGCUAGUUGGCAGGGCAGCGGCCUACCAAGGCGACGAUCCAUAGCCGGCCUGAGAGGGUGAACGGCCACAUUGGGACUGAGACACGGCCCAGACUCCUACGGGAGGCAGCAUG
rnacentral:rRNA from 1 species